UGCAGAAUCCCGUGAACCAUCGAGUUUUUGAACGCAAGUUGCGCCCGAAGCCUCUGUGCUGAGGGCACGCCUGCCUGGGCGUCACGC
rnacentral:rRNA from 1 species